rnacentral:rRNA from 1 species
CGUGGGAACGUGCCCUUCUCUGCGGAAUAGCCACUGGAAACGGUGAGUAAUACCGCAUACGCCCUUCGGGGGAAAGAUUUAUCGGAGAAGGAUCGGCCCGCGUUAGAUUAGAUAGUUGGUGGGGUAACGGCCUACCAAGUCUACGAUCUAUAGCUGGUUUUAGAGGAUGAUCAGCAACACUGGGACUGAGACACGGCCCAGACUCCUACGGGAGGCAGCAGUGGGGAAUCUUAGACAAUGGGCGCAAGCCUGAUC